UCUUGGGAAAUUAGAGAGCUAGUCUGCCCUUCCAGGCUUCUGAGGGAGUUCAUACAGCCUUGGCUUUGUCCAUCUGGACAUCCAGCCUCUGCUCCCUAGGACCAAGACAGCAAGUUUAACAAGCACCAGGAUCUCCAGGCCCUAUCACAGGCCAAAUUCUUUCUAUGACAAGCUGAAGACGGAACACGGGAAGUUCAUGUUGGACCUGCAGACCUUGAGGAAUGAGGACACUGAGGCCUCAGAGAAGUUCAAGAAGCUCAACAAGGAGACUGGCUCCUAUCCGUAAGAGCCUGUCUUGGCCAGGAGCCCACCAGCCAUGGAAUGGUCAUCUCUGCCUUUCUUUGUUUUUGGACUGGAGAGUUCCAAGCUCUGGUUCUAGCCUUUCUGCCUCUUAGCAACCAAUGUCCCUUGUGGCUCUUGAACUUAUGCCUCUUGGACUCAGUUUUGCUGAGUGUGAGUGAGACUAGGAUUGUCCUGCCCCCUUCAGGAGCCUCUAGAUAGAAAGGCAGUUCGUAUCUUGAGAGAGUGUCAGUCAGCCCUGGGCCUCUGGGGCUCAGGCAGGGUUUUACAGAGCAGGUUAGCAUGGGACCAGUAAAUAGAAUGUACUCCCACAGGGUCUCCCAUUCACCCUCAGAGGGUCUUUGUCCUCUACUUGCUGGUAUAUCCCCAUUACUGUAGAUAGAUAAGCAGAGGCGGGAGACUCCUCUUGUUCUUGGAGGUACAUAGAUUUCUUUUUGGAGAGAUAUUUUUAGAAGUAGUUUGAUUCUUUCUGGAACUGGCUGUUCCCUGAUUUUGGCCUUCUGAGUAUAGCUAUCAUGGCUGUAUUAGAUGCUUGUCUAGGUUUCCAUGGGUCCUGAUGGGGCUAAUGUACCUGGGAGUAGAAAUGGUAAGGAGAGACUGACAGAAGCUUACUAUGAGGUGAGUCUUUCCAGCAACCUCCACCGUUGGCUCCAGAUAGAGCAGACCUGGCCGAAGAAGGUGGACAGGCUGAGGCAGGACAAGAAGAAAGUGCAGGGGGAUUGGUCCCUGCUCUAGCAGCAUUUGGGGGACUUGAAGCUGCUCUGUCAGGACCAACAGGAGGAAACCAGUGAGCUCCAGACCCCGCAACAGCUAGCAGGGUAGGCAGCUAGGUCAGGCUAAGGUCUAGUACCAUUUGCCCGUUGACUGUCUGUCUGCUCAUCCACACACCAGUGCUUUUACCCAUCACCUUAUUCACCCAGCUACCCACCUCAUGCCAUCCAAUUGGGCAUUUAUUCUGUGUCCAUGCCCGAGGAUUUCUGGGAAGUUAGUUUCUCUAGAGAAACUAAAUAUUUGGCAAGCAAACCCAGCUGAUCUUCUUGAAGCUGCAGUCGAGAGAGAGAGAGAGAGAGAGAGAGAGAGAGAGAGAGAGAGAGAUGAGCAACAUGUCACAUACCUACAUGUCUGUAGGUUGAUGUCAUUAUGCAAGUGAAGGCAGACACAAGGUAAAACGGGGCCUGACAUUGGAGAAGGAACAGAGGUUUUAGAAGGAGAGGGAGAAGCAGAAGAGAGGAGGGACAACAUGGAGGCAGACGUAAAAUGAUCCUCGCCAUGCAUCUCUACAUAGGUACAGGUUGUUAGGAAUAUUUCUUUCUUUCUUUUUUUUUUUUCAGAGCUGGGAACCGAACCCAGGGCCUUGCGCAAGCGCUCUACCACUGAGCUAAAUCCCCAACCCCGUUAUGAAUAUUUCUUAAGGGAUGGAUUUCUAUAGGUCAAUUUAUCUUAUCUAGGUGGGCAGUUCAUAUCCUUAUCAAUUGGUUAUGAGUUUAUUGUUUGAAUGUAUUGUGGAUUGAGAAUUUAACAUAUAAAUCUGGUUGGGUUGCAGUUUGUUGAGUCUUGAUUUUACCAGGUGGCUGGAACCAGAGAGUUCGCGGCUAGUAGAGAGCGGCCGGGAGAGAUACUAACCAGAGAUAAAUUAUGGUUAGUUCCUUAUGGCCCCACAGGUGCCGGAACUAACUCUAGGGAUCAGCGUGGCACGGUGCCAUGUCGGAAUGGCUCGAGGAUCGCCUGGGUCUGAGAGUACUUGGGGGCAUCAUGGAGCUGCUGAGUUGGAAGUACACGGCAAUGCCAUGUGGCCCUGCGGUGCCGGCGCUAGGGCAGGAGAAAAGGUUCCGCCAUUUUUUUUUUUUUUUUUUUUUUUUUUGAGCUGGGGACCGAACCCAGGGCCUUGCGCUUCCUAGGCAAGCGCUCUACCACUGAGCUAAAUCCCCAACCCCCCCGCCAUUUUUUAAUAUUUACUGCAACACAUGUCCUCACGAUAGGCAGGGUGCUAUGCACAGAGCUUUGAGUGAGUGAGGUCUAGGUAACUGUGGGUAUGGCAGGGUUCACAUGAGCACCAUGGCUGGGAUUGCGAAGAGAGCCCAGCACAAAUGUCAAAUGAGUGCUUCUCAUUGUCAUCCAUUUGGGUGGCAUGUGGCCUUCUUCUCUUUUUUUCCUGCAACCCAAGGGAUCUCAGCCCUUCGCCCAGUUCUUGGUUCGCACUGACAGAAGCCUGAGUAUCAGCUUGUCGGCCCUGUUCUGUGAGUGUUGCUGAAGAGGUCUCCCUCUCUGGUGUUCACAGUUGGAUGCUGACUAGAUGGCCAGGGAUGUGGGAAGGACUUUUGAAAGCUAGGGGUAGGGGUAGAAGCUUUGGGGCUUUAGGGGAAAGAUUCUCUAACUAACCCAACAUAGUCUGGCUGAGUAGAGCAUGCUCCCUCCCCACAGAAGUCUUAGUCCUCAAGGAAUAGGUAGUAGGGCUGUGAGACUCUUCUGAAGAGCUGGCGUGCUUAGCCGGAACUUGGCAGUUGCCAGGAGGUUGCUUUCUGCUUACCUUUCCCCCUUCUAUUUGUCUUUGUGAAUUUGUCUGUAGUCUACCAGUCUAGGCAUGCAGGGCUGCAGUGCAUCGUGUGUGUGCCUUGGCUGGAGGAGACCAACAAAAUUUGUCAGCCUCUGCCUUGGAACAGGGUUUCUUACUUCCACAGAAGCUUGCCGUUUUGGCUGGCCUGGAUGGCCAGCGAGCUCUUGGGAUCGUCUGUAUGUGCCCACACUUUUAUGAGACUUCGUUUGUGCCUGUGUGCAACCCUCCACUGAAGGCACCAUCUUCUAAUGAACACAAGCAGGAAAGACUGGAGAAAAAGCUGCAGUAGCUGCUGGAGCAGAAGGAGCUGGCCCCAGGAAAGGAAUGUGGCAGGAAGGCAGCAGAAUCCAUUGACUUUCCCGGAUAAGACUGGGAGUUGCAGUUUGGAGCCAAAGCUGUCCCCUGUAACUAGGAUCUCUGUCUUUUGUGGACCUCUGCUAAUGUUCAAGACUCCUAGCCACCACCAGGGAAAGAACACUUCAGGUUAUUGUGCUGGUCCAGUCAAUAAGAACUUGUAUCCAGGAAAAAACAAAUAUGUUUGAUAACUCAGUGUGUCUGUAGAAUUGUGUUCUCUUCCUCCCUUCUGAGCUCUCUAGUGUGCUCUGAACAGACUGUCCUUGAACUCACAGAGCUCCACUUGCUUUUGCCUCCCAAGCGAUGGGAUUUAAAGGCAAGUCUCACCAGGCCCAGCUGAAAUUAUAAUUUUAUUCAGGAAUAUCCCCUUGGACACUGUUAGAUGUAACACUAGCUGUCUUCAUUGUUCACUUCCCAUGUCAAGUGUUCUCUGGAUAAAAUAGAAACCUAUUGCCAAGAUGAACCCAGGCAGAUGUCUCUGCUGUAGGUCAGAACCUUCAUCAGGUGUUAUACAACAGACUCAUCAAAAGAACCAGGGGGUUGGGGAUUUAGCUCAGUGGUAGAGCGCUUGCCUAGCAAGCGCAAGGCCCUGGGUUCAGUCCCCAGCUCUGAAAAAGAGAAAAAAAAAAAAAAAAAAAGAACCAGGAUGUAGAUUCCCAGUACAGUCCUAAGGAAAGCACAGCUGGCUCUGUUUAAUGUCAGAGCCUCUGUUCUCAGCCACGCAGCUCAGAAGAUGCUGCUCCAGCACGACAGGUGCUUGCCUCUUGCCUGGGUGCAAGGUGCCUUCCAAGCAGGAGAACUGAGCUCGCCUUGUUCAGGUGCCUAGAUUGCAAGGUUAUAUUAUGUGUAUCUAUUAAACAAGGUGGUCAAUGAGCAAUCAAUCAUGAACGAUGUGUUUACCUCUCCUGUGCUGUUGACAGUGCUGCUUAUACACUAUUGUUUUUUCCAAAUCAAGUCCCUGGACUGUAGGAGAAAGACCUGUUCUAUCUAAGAGAACAGGGAGCAUACGGUACUCAGAUAAACUCCUGACACUUGUGAAAGGCUGGAACAAUUUCAAGGUCCAGCUACUCUGUAGCCCUUAUUUCAUGUGGGUACCAACAAUGACUUCUCUGAAAUGAUUGGUGUUGACUGUCCUGCACAAUAUAGAUUCUUGAGGUCGCAGAUUGACUGCUACAUGUAAGGACCCCGUCAGGCUGGUGCCCUAACUGCCUUCCUCUAGGGCAGAAAAAGUCCAGCGAGGGCUGAAAGAGGCCACGGCCCAGUGUGAAAACCUCCUGUAGACCGAGCUACUGUGGUGAGAGCACUGAGAGUCACAGGCAAGAGAGCCAUCAUUGCCUCCCAGCCCAGCAGCCACAGCACUCAUGGGGUGGGUUCUCUUCCUCGACUCUGGUUUUUUAUGUGUGAAUAGGCCCCAACAUUGUCUAGCCUGUGAGCCAGCAAGGCCACGUCUGGGUCUAACUGGCUUUCCUUCUCUGGCAGUGUCCUCUGACAGAACUGAGGGGGAGAAGGAAGCCACAGACAAAGGGAAUCCCUGACAUUCUCCACACUUGGAUCAAGGCCUCCUUAGAACAAGACAUGUCCUUAGAGCUAUAAACUCAUCAGGGAGGCAAGAGCAACCUUGCUACAAAUGGUCCAAGUGCCUGUUGGCUCACUGUUUUGCAAGAAAGAAAGAGGAAGGAAAAAAAAAAGCAAACCAAUCCUAAACAAAACCCCACCCAGAAAUACUCAUUACACAGACUUUGACAUCUGCCAGCAAGUGGUCCCAGAGAGGGGCACAAUGACGUGAAGGGAGAAUGCGUUUCUGCUCCAAGUUACUUUGUCAGCUCAUUGCUGAGGUCUUUUGUAAGCUGUCAGGGCCCUCAGCCCUUCGUAUGUGGAGGGAACCCUGUCAAGGGAGCCUAUGUUGCAGUCACACCAGGUAAACCACCCAGAAACCAAUCACCCUCUUAUCCCGGUGCGGUGCUGAAGCUGCUCCAUGCCCUGCACAUGUGAGUCUGAAGUUAAUGCUCCACAGAGAGGAUCACGUCACUCAUAUGUUCCUCUACAAGGAAAUUGACUGAGGGUUCUCCAGCUCACAGCCUGGACUGAAAUCCUGAGAAGGGAUUUGCAGAGGAUGUCAGAGGGACCUUUGAUGUCUUUGGACAGUCUUGAAAAGGUACAGGCUCAAAGAUCAUAUGGAGGCGAACAAUUACAGAAUCAACCUUAGCAAAGGCUUGACCUACAAAGCCCCAAAUUGGCAUCUCUACACUUGUGCUGAAAAGGUUGUUACAACUAACACUGUCUGCUUUCCUACUGUGUGUCCACAACCAGCCACAGGGUGUGGAUCAGUGCCACAAAAUCUGUAUUGGGAGACUGCUGCUGAGCUAAACUUUUUGUUUGUUGAUUGGUUGGUUGGUGUUUGUUUGUUUUAAGUUUUGGUUUUCUUUGUAUUGCUUUGAGGUUUUGCUAUAUUUUAGAUCUUUCUUUUGUUCUUUGUUAUUUUGUAUACACUGUACCUACUGCAUAUACAGUAUAUACAUUGUAUAUACACUGUAUCUACUGCAUAUAUAGUAUAUACUGUGUAUACAAUGUACCUAUUGCAUAUAUAAUAUAUACAUUGUAUAUACUGCAUAUACUGCCUAUACACUGUAUAUACUGAAUGCUCUUUUAAAGCUCCUAUUGAGUCAAAUGACUGUUUCUCUGAAACAAGCUUUUUAAAUUAGGUGUGCUGCUACACAGUUGUAGCCCCAGAACUCACAGAGGUGGAUAUCUCCAAGUUCUCGGCAGUUGGAUAAUCUCUUCGUGAUUCAUGUCAUAUAUUCAGCUACUCCUAAAACAUGGUACUCUGUAUGUGCAUAUUCCUGAGGUGAUCAUGCAUAUCAAAUUAUCAAUAAAUACACUGGUAUUUUCUGAUGCCUCUCAGGAAAUGAGAACAUUUAUUAAGGCAGCAUAAAGAAUUCAGGAGAUCCCAGAGCUAUCUGCCUCUGGUUUCCUUGAAAUACAGAAUCUGUCGAAACCACAAUGCAGAGAUUAGAACCUCCUAAGACUUGGGGACAUGGUGUUUUUAAGGAGCUGUUGGCAUCAACUAUGCAUUUCAUACAUUUUUUUUAGAUUAAUUUAUAUUUAUAUGUAUAGAUGUUUUGGCUGCUGUCAAUGAAUCACAUGCAUGAAGUUCCCAUAGAGACCAGAAGAGGGCAAUGGUUUCCACCUAGAACUGGAGUUACAGAGGACUGUCAUAUUCUCUGGAUCCUUUGGAAAAACAGUACGUCUUCUGAAUGAAUGAGCCAUCUCUCUAGCCCUGCUCUUGACUUCUGUCCUUCCUUGCAUACUGUAUUAGUUGGACUGGAUGACCCCAAAACAAAGAAAGGUGUUUGUGGAGCCCCAUAAGGACUGGUACAUGAGGUAGGCAUGGGAGAUUGCCUUGGGCUGCCAGGCAUCAGUGGGGCUCUCCUGGGUUCAGGGUCAUGCCUCAGCAUCUCUUAUUGUCAGGGUUGGAGAAGUUCUGUCUCUGUUCACCUAGGAUGACAAUACAGUCUGCCCAUCAUCUGAAAUGCAGGAUUGAGAAGACUCUCCCAGGAGUGGAGGUGUGGGAAGGAAUUCAUGUCGGUGCACCAGCUAAACUGUGUUAAGAGGAAACAGCAGGCCAGCCUGAGUGGCUGGAGCCUGCAGCAGAGGCCACAUGGCUCUUGGGGGAGCAUGUCUGUUCAAGGCUAAGAAGGGAGAUGGCUGACUAGGCUGCUCUUUCAACACAGCAGUUUUCAGAGUGGGUUAGGAAGUGUUUCUUCCACAUGGUUGAUUUACUCUUGUGAGGCUCCCCUGGAAUGGGAGCUGACUUCUGAGACUGACAGUGAACCCCAGUGUUAACUCAUGAAAGAAGUAAUCAUGUGAGUGCCCAACCUCCUGCUGUGAAACCAAGGCUUUUAAGAGCUCUGCAGCCCAAAAUGAGGGGGAUGGAUGUUCAGCUUCUCUGACGUCAGUCACCUGCUCUUUCUGAGCUGACUCUUAUACUAUGGCAUACCUUCAGAUACACUGCAAACUAGCUGUGACUUCGUAGUAAAUUACUGAUCACCACCAUGUGGCAGGGGACUCCUUGUCCAUCUUUCUGUUAUCUAGAAGGAUCUAGGGCAAGCCAUGCCUUACUUCCAUGUAGGUCCUCCUCACCGCUCUCGGCUGUUUUGAUAAAUGCUAAAAGAUUGGUAGAUUAACAUCUCCUGUUCUCCUUGCAUCCAUGCAGGUAUAGAACAGUUUAAUUUCAGCCUGUCUUGGGCUAAACUGUCGUGAGUGUGCUGUGUGGACUGGGGCCCUUCGUCUUCUCUUUCAGAGAAACAUCCCCAGACUUGAAAGCAUUCUGCAAACCAGUCUCAAGGACCAGUAUGGUGGCUGAACCGACAGCUCAAUCUCUUUUGAAGUCAGCUUUGUAGUAGUUGCAAUGGCUGAGCCGAGUUCUUGUAACUCAGGUUUGUAACUCAGAGAUAGAGUACUUGCCAAGCGGUCGUAGCGUCCUAAGGUUUAAUCUUAGCACAUCUGGACGGAAGGGGACAGAAAAUUCACCCUGUUACAUCCUAGAGAGAAGCAUACAGAAAAGCAGGAGGUUUCACAGAAACAUUUUAAAUCCUCCAGCCUCCAUCUCUUGCCUUCAGUGGAAUGCAGCAAGCGUUCACUCUUGAGUUGAACACUCCCAACGAAGGACAGAUGCAUACACAGACCAUAGAUAUAGAUCCAUAGCUUACUAAAUUCCGGGCUUUCUGUGGUAACUGGAAAGAUGGAUAAGCAGUUAAUGGUAAUGUUGGGAAGCCUAUAGACCCGAAUUUUUCUCCCCCUGGGACACACAUGAUUGAAGGAGGGGGAAAAAAAUCUGCCACAAAUUGUCCCCUGAGCUUCGUGAGGUGUUUAUAUGUGUGGUAGGUCUUGUCCCAGAGAAACCAAGACAAUCUGGUUUCCAAUUCCUCACUUACGCUAGAAUCUCUCCAACUGAUACACCCGUGUAAAUGGAUUAACUACUGUGUGUUCCACUUGACUGAUUCGACACAUUUGUUAUCUUACUUUUGAUACAGAGAAGCUUUAGAAACAAAGAAGACCUCCACCACAUGUUCACCUGAAAAACAGGUUAAGGGAAUGUGGGCAUCUAGAACUUGUAACUGCGCUGAGACCACUGUUGGGCCCAAAUGGCUCUAAAAUGUCUUCUAUAGAUGCCUGUCUGUUUUUUACUGUCCACCUUGGACCAUCUUGAAGAACCCAUGCCUUGUGAUUAAAGUCUGCCAGUCCCUAUGGCCUGCUGAUGUCUCACUGGAGCUCAGUGCUUCUAGAAUGAGGAUUAGAUGGCCAGAACGAUGCACAGUUAGUCUAGGUCACCUGCAACGCCUGUCUUCUGCUGUGGUCCACAUUUUCUGAACUGUGAGUGGUCUAUUCCACCAUCCAGGGGUUAAGGGAUGCCCAGCAUUAGUGCUCCUGAGUUAGAUACCUGGGUAGGGGGAGAAAAAUCAAUUCCUGCAAGUUGUCCACUGCCCCCAAAAUAUGCUAUGGCAGCAGCACGCCCAUACGUGUGUGUGUCUAAGUACAUAAAUAAAUUCAAUAGCAACAUGAAAUCAUAUUUUAAUACCAUGCAACUCUAAACUUUAUAUUGUCAAGUGACACAGAUCUUUGUGGCCAGACGACAGAGGAAAUGCAAGGUUCCUUCCAGAUCAGGACAGAAGUUGGAUGAAAGAAGGAGAGGCUUGCCAGCAUGCUGCUAGCCAGGAGAGACCUGUGCCGAGAAGUGAAAACCUACGCCAUUGGCCGCCGGCAUGAGGUAUCUAUGUCAUCGGUCAUGUCUAGGAUUUGGGCUUAUGGUUUUUUGCCCUUAGAAGCCUGCUGCUUUACAAUAAAGUUGAGCCUUGAUUAGAACUUUG